rnacentral:tRNA from 1 species
GCCGACGUAGCUCAGUGGUAGAGCGCCUCCAUGGUAAGGAGUAGGUCCUCGGUUCGAAUCCGAGCGUCGGCUCCG